UUUUAAAAUUCAUCUAUUUGUACUGUUAAAAACUAGCGUGGCUAACGAAAUAACCAAACUAUGACAUGUGGCGUGCCAUGUGUAUCUAAUGUAGAUGUAUAAAGACUAGUUUUUAACAGUAGAAAUAGAUGAAAUUUUUAAUA
rfam:Gossypium arboreum cultivar AKA8401 contig_2581_3, whole genome shotgun sequence.